rnacentral:rRNA from 1 species
GUCGAACGCUGGCGGCGUGCCUAAUACAUGCAAGUCGAACGCAGUGGGGACGGGUGAGUAACACGUGGGUAACCUCCCAUCAGAGGGGAUAAAACUUGGCAACAGGUGCUUAACCGAUACUGCUGGAUGGACCCGCGGUGCCUUAGCUAGUCGGUGAGGUAACGGCUCACCAAGGCCACGGUGCAUAGCCGACCUGAGAGGGUGAUCGGCAACACUGGUACUGAGACACGGCCCAGACUCCGACGGGAGGCAGCAGUAGGGAAUCUUCGGCAAUGGACGAAAGUCUGACCGAGCAACGCCGCGGGAGUGAAGAAGGUUUUCGGAUCGUAAAACUCUGUUGGUAGAGAAGCGGUAUCUAACCAGAAAGCCACGGCUAACUACGUGCCAGCCGCCGCGGUAAUAC